AUGCACGCUGGCGGCGUGCCUAAUCCAUGCAAGUCGAGCGAACGGACGAGAAGCUUGCUUCUCUGAUGUUAGCGGCGGACGGGUGAGUAACACGUGGAUAACCUACCUAUAAGACUGGGAUAACUUCGGGAAACCGGAGCUAAUACCGGAUGAUAUUUUGAACCGCAUGGUUCAAAAGUGAAAGACGGUCUUGCUGUCACUUGUAGAUGGAUCCGCGCUGCAUUAGCUAGUUGGUAAGGUAACGGCUUACCAAGGCAACGAUGCAUAGCCGACCUGAGAGGGUGAUCGGCCACACUGGAACUGAGACACGGUCCAGACUCCUACGGGAGGCAGCAGUAGGGAAUCUUCCGCAAUGGGCGAAAGCCUGACGGAGCAACGCCGCGUGAGUGAUGAAGGUCUUCGGAUCGUAAAACUCUGUUAUUAGGGAAGAACAUAUGUGUAAGUAACUGUGCACAUCUUGACGGUACCUAAUCAGAAAGCCACGGCUAACUACGUG
rnacentral:rRNA from 1 species